rnacentral:ncRNA from 23 species
GCGGGGGUGCCCGAGCCAGGUCAAAGGGGCAGGGUUCAGGUCCCUGUGGCGUAGGCCUGCGUGGGUUCAAAUCCCACCCCCCGCA